rnacentral:rRNA from 1 species
GCGGCGGCUUACCAUGCAGUCGAGCGGAACGAUGGGAGCUUGCUCCCAGGCGUCGAGCGGCGGACGGGUGAGUAACACUUAGGAAUCUACCUAGUAGUGGGGGAUAGCUCGGGGAAACUCGAAUUAAUACCGCAUACGACCUACGGGAGAAGGGGGGCAGUUUACUGCUCUCGCUAUUAGAUGAGCCUAAGUCGGAUUAGCUAGAUGGUGGGGUAAAGGCCUACCAUGGCGACGAUCUGUAGCUGGUCUGAGAGGAUGAUCAGCCACACCGGGACUGAGACACGGCCCGGACUCCUACGGGAGGCAGCAGUGGGGAAUAUUGGACAAUGGGGGGAACCCUGAUCCAGCCAUGCCGCGUGUGUGAAGAAGGCCUUUUGGUUGUAAAGCACUUUAAGCAGUGAAGAAGACCUAACGGUUAAUACCCGUUAGCGAUGACAUUAGCUGCAGAAUAAGCACCGGCUAACUCUGUGCCAGCAGCCGCGGUAA